rnacentral:rRNA from 1 species
GACGAACGCUGGCGGCGUGCUUAACACAUGCAAGUCGAACGGAAAGGCCCUGCUUUUGUGGGGUGCUCGAGUGGCGAACGGGUGAGUAACACGUGAGUAACCUGCCCUUGACUUUGGGAUAACUUCAGGAAACUGGGGCUAAUACCGGAUAGGAGCUCCUGCUGCAUGGUGGGGGUUGGAAAGUUUCGGCGGUUGGGGAUGGACUCGCGGCUUAUCGGCUUGUUGGUGGGGUAGUGGCUUACCAAGGCUUUGACGGGUAGCCGGCAUGAGCGGGUGACCGGGCACAUUGGGACUGAGAUAGGGCCCAGACUCCUACGGGAGGCAGCAGGGGGGAAUCUGGCACAAUGGGGGGAAGCCUGAGGCAGCAACGCCGCGUGCGGGAUGACGGCCUUCGGGUUGUAAACCGCUUUCGCCUGUGACGAAGCGUGAGUGACGGUAAUGGGUAAAGAAGCACCGGCUAACUACGUG